GACUAAAGAAUUUUAUUAUUUUACAGUGAUUAUUAUUUUAACGAGUAUUAUUUUAAAAGGUUUUACUGUAUUUUCACUUUUUCAUUUUAGCCUAAAAAUACGCCGAAUUGAAAAACUGAAAAUAUCUCUUUUCCAGAAACGGAGGGAAUAUAUGACAUGAACACCAAUCCACAACUUCCACAUCAUCUUUCUUAUUUUGCAAUCCAUCUCUACCCAUGUUUACCAUAAAUCCCAUUCUUCUCAAGCUUUCCUUUUCCAUGUGUUUCCUAUUUGUCCGAGUCCCAUCCUCUCUUAACAUAAACACACUUGUUUCUCAAGUUUCCCGGCACGAGCAUACUAAUUCAAAUCAUUGCUCUCCGGUCUCCAGAUUACACUUUUUCUACAACUACCAGUCAUUAUUGCGACGUUACACUUUACACCCAAGAUAAAAAUGUAUCAAGAAUUUGAGUCUAUUUCAUUUUGAUUUUGAUAUAAGUGGAGCACACGUCCAAACAUUAUUUCUGCAUGUGUCCAACUCUUCAAGGGUAUUUGUGGUAACUAUAUUCCUCGAACAGCACUUCGCCGACUCCUGCUCUGUCCCCUUUCACUUGACCAAACUCAUUCCCUUAUUUGAUUUUCAAAUACAGCAGCAACGACAAGGAAGCAACAACAACAUCAACAAAUUAUGCAGCAAGUUUUUCACAACUACAAUAAUCGAUGUCUAAUUUCUCCUCUUCAAGUAUAUUGUUUUCGAUGUUCUUAUUUCUUUUCAUGGAAGUCAGUCACCUGUGGAUUUGAGAGGCAAAGGGAAUAAAGAAGCUUAUCCGUUACCUUCAGAUCUGAGAAGACUGGUGAGUCAGUUUGCUGAAUGGGUUAACCAAAGUGGGGAAAAAACAACGGACCUGAGUCGAUUCGGAUCCGAACCGUAUACCCAUCGUCUUCUUCGCCCGAUUUUCUGCUCCUGUAACAAUAACAAAUUCUCUGCUGCUGCAAUUAUCAGAUGAUUUCAAGCUAUACGAUUUUCGUCGGACACUUCUGUUGAGUCCAUGAAGACAAAAGUAAGAUACUCACCAGCUCUUCGUUGGAUAAUCCAGAAUUGCUACGAUGAACCAUCCACAAUACUUCUGUAUAAUGUUCGACUUAAUUAGUGAUGAAUGUAGUUCUUAGUUCUAGGAUCUUACUGUUUCUCAAGGCUUCGUUCCGCGAUGCUACAAAAUGUCCCAAUACUCUUUCCCAUAAAUUGUAAUUGUUUAUUGGUCUCACCAUACGAUUUAACCAACAUC